GAUGAACGCUGGCGGCGUGCCUAAUACAUGCAAGUCGAGCGAAGCGGGGACGGGUGAUUAACACGUGGGUAACCAUCUAUAAGAAUGGGAUAACAUCGGGAAACCGUAGCUAAACCGGACACUGAGAGAUGGAACCGUGCUGCAUUAGCUAGUUGGUACGGUAACGGCUUACCAUGGCCACGAUGCAUAGCCGACCGGAGAGGGUGAUCAGCCACACUGGAACUGAGACACGGUCCAGACUCCUACGGGAGGCAGCAGUAGGGAAUCUUCGGCAAUGGGCGAAAGCCUGACGGAGCAACGCCGCGUGAGUGAUGAAGGUCUUCGGAUCGUAAAGCUCUUUUAUUAGGGAAGCGGUACCUAAUCAGAAAGCAACGGCUAACUACGUGCCAGCAGCCGCGGUAAUAC
rnacentral:rRNA from 1 species